GUUUUGCGACACAUUAGCAGUCAUCAACCUAAUGUUAAAGGUGGAUCAGGACAGUGCAAACUUUCAGUUAUCCCCCCAGAAGCUGAAGGUUAUAUUGCCCACUUUUUAAAAACUCUGACCGGAGGAGGAAGGAAGACCAUCUAUAUUCUUCCACUCCAGGAUGAAUUAGAUACAUCCCCUCUUCCUCCAGACGCACAUGAAUUCCGAACGAUGCCUAAGGCAACUUGUAGAGUCUGCGGAUCUAGCAUGCUAUUGCAAGUGUUGGCUGUGCAUGUGAAGUCCUGUGUGGACCAGCCAUCAUCAGGGGAUGACUUUGAUCCACAUGGAGGGGAAUGGUGGCGGGCGUCGAAAAGCGUUUCUUUGAGAAGGGCAGAUAACCUUGGGCUGUCCCAUCUGGACAAAGGUCAUUUCAGGUGGAUGCAGCCACUGAGACAACAAUUCAAUGUCUCACAGAGGACAUCUUGAACUGUGGGUACACAGGAUUAAUCAGCUUGGGGGAAAAGGACGCAAUAAUCCGCUCUCAGGCUUUCCCAUCAUAACUUAAAGGGCCAAGUGGAAGACCUCAGGCGGACGGCCUGGGGGCAGGACAGAAACGGGGCUUGGGCCCUCAGGUGGACGGCAAGGCAAAGUCUGAGCAGAGAACCUCUGGCGGACGGCCCGAGGGCGGGACGGGUGUGGAGCAGAAAAUCUCAGGCGGACAGCCUAGAGGCAGGCCCAAAGGGCAGAGCAGGUCUGGAGGAUGACCAGAUGUGUGGAGCAACUCAGGAGGUUGGUGGUUGGGGGAUUUUGACAGCGUUAUAGAGUGUUGCAGAUAUGAUGCUGCGCUCCAGACAAUGUCGGAGGUCGGAAUUUCCUGUUGAAACUCCCGACCUCCCACCUCUAAGCGUUCCAGGUGCACAACGUCAAACGUAAACAAAAAACAUGGCUGACCGUGACCACCUUGUAUAUAUAAACGAAACAGAGGAGGAACAUACAGCAUUAUACAUGUUAUUUUAUGGCACUCAUGAACGUAUCUUCAUAUUCCAUUCACUAGCCUAAUACAAUACUGUAGUCCACAAAUACAGCCUACCCCCCUCCACUAUUGAUUGAAAUGUAGUCUAAUGUGUCCAUGGGUACUGCCAUUGUUAUGUGAUGUCAGACAACUGCUUCUUCAUGAAGUGGGGGUACAUGAAUUUGCCCUGAGUUCACAAGUAGGAACUCCGACUUUAAGUGGAGUUCCAUUGUACUGAUAUUUGUUACUUGAACAGUAGUUUGAUGGAAACAGCAGUGUUUUUUCCACA